AGUGAACGCUGGCGGUAGGCCUAACACAUGCAAGUCGAACGGCAGCACAGGAGAGCUUGCUUUCUGGGUGGCGAGUGGCGGACGGGUGAGGAAUACAUCGGAAUCUACUUUUUCGUGGGGGAUAACGUAGGGAAACUUACGCUAAUACCGCAUACGACCUACGGGUGAAAGCAGGGGACCUUCGGGCCUUGCGCGAUUGAAUGAGCCGAUGUCGGAUUAGCUAGUUGGCGGGGUAAAGGCCCACCAAGGCGACGAUCCGUAGCUGGUCUGAGAGGAUGAUCAGCCACACCGGAACUGAGACACGGUCCAGACUCCUACGGGAGGCAGCCGUGGGGAAUAAUGGACAAUGGGCGCAAGCCUGAUCCAGCCAUACCGCGUGGGUGAAGAAGGCCUUCGGGUUGUAAAGCCCUUUUGUUGGGAAAGAAAUCCAGCUGGCUAAUACCCGGUUGGGAUGACGGUACCCAAAGAAUAAGCACCGGCUAACUUCGUGCCAGCCGCCGCCGUAA
rnacentral:rRNA from 1 species